rnacentral:rRNA from 1 species
AUUACGGGAGGCAGCAGUGGGGAAUAUUGCACAAUGGGGGAAACCCUGAUGCAGCCAUGCCGCGUGUGUGAAGAAGGCCUUCGGGUUGUAAAGCACUUUCAGUAGGGAGGAAAGGUUGUAAGUUAAUACCUUGCAGCUGUGACGUUACCUACAGAAGAAGGACCGGCUAACUCCGUGCCAGCAGCCGCGGUAAUAAU